rnacentral:rRNA from 1 species
AUUGAACGCUGGCGGCAUGCUUUACACAUGCAAGUCGAACGGUAACAGGCCUUCGGGUGCUGACGAGUGGCGAGCGGGUGAGUAAUGCAUCGGAACGUACCCAGAGGUGGGGGAUAACGCAGCGAAAGCUGUGCUAAUACCGCAUGUGAUCUGAGGAUGAAAGCGGGGGACCGAGCAGCAAUGUUUGGCCUCGCGCCUUUGGAGCGGCCGAUGUCGGAUUAGCUAGUUGGUGGGGUAAAGGCCUACCAAGGCGACGAUCCGUAGCUGGUCUGAGAGGACGACCGGCCACACUGGGACUGAGACACGGCCCAGACUCCUACGGGAGGCAGCAGUGGGGAAUUUUGGACAAUGGGCGCAAGCCUGAUCCAGCAAUGCCGCGUGCGGGAAGAAGGCCUUCGGGUUGUAAACCGCUUUUGGCAGGAACGAAACGGUGUCCGCUAAUACCGGGCGCUAAUGACGGUACCUGCAGAAUAAGCACCGGCUAACUACGUG